CCUACGGGAGGCAGCAGUGGGGAAUAUUGCGCAAUGGGCGAAAGCCUGACGCAGCGACGCCGCGUGAGGGAUGAAGGUCUUCGGAUUGUAAACCUCUGUCAGCAGGGAAGAAAGGUCACUGUGCUAAUCAGCAGUGAAUUGACGGUACCUGCAAAGGAAGCACCGGCUAACUCCGUGCCAGCAGCCGCGGUAAUACGGAGGGUGCGAGCGUUAACCGGAAUUAUUGGGCGUAAAGCGGUCGCAGGCGGGAUGUCAAGUCAAGGGUGAAAUCCCCGAGCUCAACGUGGGGACUGCCUUUGAAACUGGCAAACUGGAGUGUGUGAGAGGAUAGUGGAAUUCCAGGUGUAGGAGUGAAAGCCGUAGAUAUCUGGAGGAACAUCAGUGGCGAAGGCGACUAUCUGGCACGUAACUGACGCUGAGGAGCGAAAGCGUGGGUAGCAAACAGGAUUAGAUACCCGGGUAGUC
rnacentral:rRNA from 1 species